UACGAGGGGGGCGAGCGUUGUUCGGAAUUAUUGGGCGUAAAGGGUGCGUAGGCGGUUUGGUAAGUCUUAUGUGAAAUCUACAGGCUCAACUUGUAGUCUGCAUGAGAAACUGCCGGGCUUGAGUAUGGGAGAGGUGAGUGGAAUUCCUGGUGUAGCGGUGAAAUGCGUAGAUAUCAGGAGGAAUACCUAUGGCGAAAGCAGGUAUCUGGGCCACAACUGACGCUGAGCUGCGAAAGCUAGGGGAGCAAACAGG
rnacentral:rRNA from 1 species